GUCUUUUUGUAAUUUAUAUAAAGUCUAACCUGCCCAUUGAAUUUAUUUUAAAGGCUGCGGUAUUUUGACCGUACAAAGGUAGCAUAAUCAUUAGUUUUUUAAUUGGGAACUGGAAUGAAUGGUUGAAUGAAAAAUUAACUGUUUUAAAUAAAAUAAUGAAUUUUACUUUUUAGUUAAAAGGCUAAAAUAAUUUUAAAAGACGAGAAGACCCUAUAGAGUUUUAUAUUUUUAUUUAUAUUUUUUAAUAAGAUUUAUUAAAUUUUUAAAUUUAAAAAUAUUUUGUUGGGGUGAUAAUAAAAUUUAAUUAACUUUUAUAAAUUUAUUAACAUUAAUAUAUGAUUAUAUGAUCCAUUAUUAUUGAUUAAAAAAUUAAAUUACCUUAGGGAUAACAGCGUAAUUUUUUUUUAAGUUCUUAUUAAUAAAAAAUUUUGCGACCUCGAUGUUGGAUUAAGAUUUAAUUUUAGGUGCAGCAGUUUAAAUUUUAAGUCUGUUCGACUUUUAAAUUCUU
rnacentral:rRNA from 1 species